UAGGUCUUAGUUUAGUAAAAAUGUUUGACUGUUAAUCAAAAGACGUUGUUGAAACAGAUUUAG
rnacentral:tRNA from 1 species